AGUGAUAUAGCUGGAUCAUAUGGUAGUUGCAUUUUUAGUUUUUUGAGGAACUUCCAUACUGUUUUCAUAGUAGCUAUUCUAAUUUACAUUUCCACCAGCAGU
rnacentral:pre_miRNA from 1 species